rnacentral:rRNA from 1 species
AGCGAACGCUGGCGGCAGGCCUAACACAUGCAAGUCGAACGGAUCCUUCGGGAUUAGUGGCGGACGGGUGAGUAACACGUGGGAACGUGCCCUUUGGUUCGGAACAACUCAGGGAAACUUGAGCUAAUACCGGAUGUGCCCUUCGGGGGAAAGAUUUAUCGCCAUUGGAGCGGCCCGCGUCUGAUUAGCUAGUUGGGGAGGUAAAGGCUCACCAAGGCGACGAUCAGUAGCUGGUCUGAGAGGAUGAUCAGCCACAUUGGGACUGAGACACGGUCCAAACUCCUGCGGGAGGCAGCAGUGGGGAAUCUUGCGCAAUGGGCGAAAGCCUGACGCAGCCAUGCCGCGUGAAUGAUGAAGGUCUUAGGAUUGUAAAAUUCUUUCACCGGGGACGAUAAUGACGGUACCCGGAGAAGAAGCCCCGGCUAACUUCGUGCCAGCCGCCGCCGUAA